rnacentral:misc_RNA from 1 species
GAUGAAGAACGUAGCGAAAUGCGAUAAGUAGUGUGAAUUGCAGAAUUCAGUGAAUCAUCGAAUCUUUGAACGCACAUUGCGCCCCUUGGUAUUCCAUGGGGCAUGCCUGUUCGGGCGUCAUUUGUACCUUCAAGCUCUGCUUGGUGUUGGGUGUUUGUCUCGCCUCUGCGUGUAGACUCGCCUCAAAACAAUUGGCAGCCGGCGUAUUGAUUUCGGAGCGCAGUACAUCUCGCGCUUUGCACUCAUAACGACGACGUCCAAAAGUACAUUUUUACACUCUUGACCUCGGAUCAGGUAGGGAUACCCGCUGAACUUAAGCAUAUCAAUAAGCGGAGGA